UACGGGGGGGGCAAGCGUUGUUCGGAAUUACUGGGCGUAAAGGGCUCGUAGGCGGCCAACUAAGUCAGACGUGAAAUCCCUCGGCUUAACCGGGGAACUGCGUCUGAUACUGGAUGGCUUGAGAUUGGGAGAGGGAUGCGGAAUUCCAGGUGUAGCGGUGAAAUGCGUAGAUAUCUGGAGGAACACCGGUGGCGAAGGCGGCAUCCUGGACCAACACUGACACUGAUGAGCGAAAGCCAGGGGAGCAAACGGG
rnacentral:rRNA from 1 species